UACAGUGCAUUUUCUUUCUUUCUAAAGAAUAAAGCAAAACAUUAUUUCUCUUGUGGAAAGAAAAAUCAUAUGGAAUUGGGGCAGCAACCUUCUGGCACGAGAUUCAUUCUCAUAUGAAAUUACAUAUUCACAUGGAGUAUUUUAAACCAGCAACGUGAAUUCUUUUGGCAAGCAUCAACAUGUUUUAUUCUAUUUUAGGCGGAUUGGAGAUUUCUUCGAACUGAAGUAAGGUGAAAAAAAGAUAAUUUCUUGGCAUAUGAGCCAAAACAAAAACGACACCAUAUUUUCACUUGCUAAGCAUUCACCUUGGAUGGAGCUAAGAACGGCCAUGGAUAAAUAUUUUUGAGCUCUUGGCCAGUUUGCUUUUGGGAGGCAAUUCAAGUAAAAAUCUUGACAAGAAUUUGAAGAACAUCCUUAGAUGUGCAAGUUAAGGUACAGACGACCGAUUUGCUGAUCCGCCCGCUUAGGAUUUUACUCUACGUUUUGGUACAGUCUUUUGCUAUUGUACAUAUAUAUGUUGUUCAGGGGUAUGACGGGGCCCUGUCCCGUCUUAUGAUUGUGUUAUUACUCGUAGAGGUCUGUAGACAUACAUGUGGGUUCUGUAUAUGUUUUGGGUUGCUAUGUUCUAUGAUAGCCUUAUCGGCUUCCGUGCGAUAUGUCUGUUUGUCUGCGAUAAUUAGUAAAGCCAUUCGACUUCUGUAUCUGUAUAUUCUUCUUAUGCACUGGU